rnacentral:rRNA from 1 species
CCUACGGGAGGCAGCAGUGGGGAAUAUUGGACAAUGGGGGGAACCCUGAUCCAGCCAUGCCGCGUCUGUGAAGAAGGCCCUCGGGUUGUAAAGCACUUUCAGUGAGGAAGAACGCCUGGUGGUUAAUACCCAUCAGGAAAGACAUCACUCACAGAAGAAGCACCGGCUAACUCCGUGCCAGCAGCCGCGGUAAUACGGAGGGUGCGAGCGUUAAUCGGAAUUACUGGGCGUAAAGCGCGCGUAGGUGGCUUGAUAAGCCGGUUGUGAAAGCCCCGGGCUCAACCUGGGAACGGCAUCCGGAACUGUCAAGCUAGAGUGCAGGAGAGGAAGGUAGAAUUCCCGGUGUAGCGGUGAAAUGCGUAGAGAUCGGGAGGAAUACCAGUGGCGAAGGCGGCCUUCUGGACUGACACUGACACUGAGGUGCGAAAGCGUGGGUAGCAAACAGGAUUAGAUACCCCUGUAGUC